rnacentral:misc_RNA from 1 species
CCCCCCCCGAAAGGGGGGGGAAAAAAAAAAAAAAA